rnacentral:rRNA from 1 species
AAUGUCUGGCUAGGUGUCACACAGUG